UACGGAGGAUGCAAGCGUUAUCCGGAAUGAUUGGGCGUAAAGCGUCCGCAGGUGGCAAUGUAAGUCUGCUGUCAAAGCGUCUGGCUCAACCAGAUAAAGGCAGUGGAAACUACAUAGCUAGAGUAAGGUAGGGGUAGAGGGAAUUCCUGGUGUAGCGGUGAAAUGCGUAGAGAUCAGGAAGAACACCGGUGGCGAAGGCGACGUCCUGGACCGGCAUUGACGCUGAGGCGCGAAAGCCAGGGGAGCAAACGGG
rnacentral:rRNA from 1 species